rnacentral:miRNA from 1 species
CAUAUAUGUGUAUGUGUGUCUGUGUAUAUGUGUGUAUAUGUCUAUGUAUACACAUACACACACACGUACACUCACCCAACAAAACUAUAU